rnacentral:rRNA from 1 species
AUUGAACGCUGGCGGCAGGCCUAACACAUGCAAGUCGAACGAGUGGCGGACGGGUGAGUAAUGUCUGGGACACUGCCCGAUGGAGGGGGAUAACUACUGGAAACGGUAGCUAAUACCGCAUACCAUCGGAUGUGCCCAGAUGGGGUUAGCUUGUAGGUGAGGUAACGGCUCACCUAGGCGACGAUCCCUAGCUGGUCUGAGAGGAUGACCGGGGACACUGUAACUGUGACACGGUCCAGACGCCUACGGGAGGCAGCAGGGGGGAAUAUUGGAAAAUGGGCGCAAGCCUGAUGCAUCCAUGCCGCGUGUAUGAAGAAGUCCUUCGGGUUGUAAAGUACUUUAAGCGGGGCGGCGGUACCCGCAGAAGAAGCACCGGCUAACUCCGUGCCAGCCGCCGCGGUAAUAC